CCAAAAGCUCCCCCAACCCUCUGGAACAGAUUUUGGAGGCACGCAGGGAAUCAGCUCUGCUGGUGGGAGAGGCACAGUUGGAUUUCACCCAUAGUAUGAAUGUGGAGGCUGAAUAGCUUUGUAUUCUGUCUGAGGCUAGCUUUGCAGAGUCUUCUUUCAGUUUUGCGACCUUCACCCCAAAUCUGACCUCUCUGGGAGAAGGUGAUGAUCAGAUAUUUCUAAUAACGGCACAUUAGGAUUCAUGCUUCCCCCACCCAACGUUUUUAAUAAACUUUUAGUGAAUUCGCUUUAUCUCUCUAGAAUUUCAUAUAGAGAAAUAUUCAAAGCAGAUAGUUAUCUUUAUUGAGGGAUGAGUGUCUAGGCUUGAUUGUUUUAAGCCUCUUUUAUAAAUCUCCUUGGCACAGCUCCCCAUAAAGAUUUUAUAAAUUGUGCAUUGACCGGCACCAUGCCCAUAUGAGGUUGGUUUCUAAGUCACAGUAAGUUUUAACAAAGAGGUUUUAAUUGGAAUAAUUACUCUGUUGACUUAAAUUGGUUGCAUUUUCUCUGUACAAUAAAUCCCAAUAAGAAUUUAAAUCCCACCAUAAUUAGUAUUCUGUAAUUUCUAUUUUGCUUUUUUUGUUAAAUACUGCAGGCAUUUUUGUCCUGCCUUGGCAGAUUUAGGUAUUAAUACUUAACUUAAUUCUUGUGCAUAAAAGUUGGACACAAUCCACUAGAAAUGUUUCCUGCAAAAAAAGCCCUUUUGGAAAAUGGUUGGGACUUAGCUAAAUUGCAGGUGAAGUUGUUUUGCUUAUACACCUCCAAGACAUUUUCAACAAGCGAGAUCUGGAAUGCAUGUUGCAUUGUGGAGUGCUGCUGAUUAGCGUUCCAACCAGCUAUGCCCCUUCCAGGCUAUAUCAUUCCAUUACCCUUCCCCACAUUGUUCUCCCCUCAGUUAUCAGCGUUCAGCUCCCACUAAGCCAUAUUUAGGGGACUGAGGCUUCCAACCCUUUAGGUUUUUAUAGGGGAGUUUUUUGUACAUCUGCAAACCUUUGGAUUCCUCCAAGCCUGUUGCUGCCUCUUUCAUGUGUGAAUGAUGCCAUUUGGACUGCAGAAGGGGCCACACAUCCAGAUAAUGAGUUUAAUAGUGGUAUAUAGGUUGGAGUUUUCCCUGUGUGACAACUCCUGUGAUGCUAGUGGUCUAGCUACUCUGCAUCACAGUGUACCACAAGUGGUGUGAAAAGGGAGAGCUAUGACAUAGACAUAGACCUGGUCCUGUGCUCCUUUGUUAAGAACAUAGGACUCUGUAGCCCUCCAUCUUGCAGUGCCACCGGUUCCCCAUUCCUAAUACAGGAAGAGCCCUCUUGGAUUGGACCAAAGAGCCAUAGAAUCCAGCAUUAUUUUCCCAAUAGCAACCAGCCAGAUGUUUCUGGGAGCUUACAAGCAGGGUUAGAAGGCAAUGCCACCCCUGGAGAAAACAGCUGGAAAGUGAAAGAGACAACACCAUAUAUGGACAGAAGGAAUCUCCAUGGAUAUACAAGUUUUCACACACAGGGCAGAAUAAAGAUACAGUGGUACCUUGGUUCUUGAACUUAAUCCAUUCCAGGAGUCCAUUCGACUCCCAAAACCAUUUGAAAACCAAGACACUGCUUCCGAUUAGCUGCAGGAGCUUCCUGCAUUCAAGCGGAAGCUGCGUUGGACGUGCGGCUUCUGAAAAACGUUCGCAAACCAGAACACUUCUGGGUUAGUGGCGUUCGGAAGCCGAUUUGUUUGACAGCUAAGCUGUUCUAGAACCAAGGUACCACUGUAAUAGUUUGAGUUCCUCACUUGAAGCUUUAUAAAUUUAUAUAUUGUAAAAUCACGACUGGAAAUAAUUACGUAGCUGUUGACUAAAGGAUUAUUAUUAUAACUGAAACGUAACUGACGUUAAUUAAGAUUAUGGAAUGCAGUGUUAUAAGAUCAGAAAUGCACCCAAACCAUCAUGCAGGGAGCCACUUUAACUAAAAUGUAUUAAUUAGAAGUUGAUUGGCACUUUGAUAAUUGUAUAAUUUGGGGAUUAAUUGUUAUUUGUUAUAAUUUGGCUAUUAUUGGAAAACUAAUAAAAAUAUUUUUUUUUUAAAAAGGAAGGCAAUGCCACCCCUUUUACUUUCACAGCAUCUGGUAUUCAGAAGUCCAUUGCCUCCAGAUCUUGUGUCACAGCUAAUAAACCUAUCCAAGCCAGUGGCAAUUGCUAUGCUUGGAGCAAUAAACUGCAUGGCUUAGUUCUGUGCUAUGUGAAGAGUAGCUUUCUUUAUUCUGUCCAGGAUGUAAUUGUAUUGGGUGGUCCUAAACCUCUGCCCUGUCUCUUUAGUCAUUGUGUUUAGAAGGGUAUCUUUACAUUGGCAAAUAUAUAUUUCUGAUAUAAUGAUGGCAAUGUAAAUGACUGUUCCUGAACCUACCUAUAACUUUAUACCGCUAACUUUCUUUUUGGGUUAUUGUUGAAGUGCCUCAUCUUAAGUAUUGCUGACCUCAUAUUUAUACCUGGAAAGAUUUGUUAACAUGGCAAUUUCCCACCUCUUUGAACGAGACUUGUGUGAUUUUAUAUGGUCUGAUGCACUCUUGUGACUUGUUCCUGUUCCCAUCCAUGUUUUAAUGACUGUUAAUCCUGCUGAAUCAAUAGGACUUUCUGUAAUAAAUCAGUUAAUAUGAAA